UUGGAGGGCAAGUCUGGUGCCAGCAGCCGCGGUAAUUCCAGCUCCAAUAGCGUAUAUUAAAGUUGUUGCAGUUAAACAGCUCGUAGUUGAAUUUCGGGAUCAAUUUAUCGGUCGUGCCAAUGGUAUGAACUGGUACAAUUGGUCUCUCCCUUCUGAAGAACCAUGGUGUCAUUAAUUUGGUGUUGUGGGGAAUCAGGACUGUUGCUUUGAAAAAAUUAGAGUGUUUAAAGCAGGCUUAGGCUUGAAUACAUUAGCAUGGAAUAAUGAAAUAGGACGCUUUGAUCCUAUUUCGUUGGUUUCUAGGAUCGACGUAAUGAUUAAUAGGGAUAGUUGGGGGCAUUAGUAUUCAAUUGUCAGAGGUGAAAUUCUUGGAUUUAUUGAAGACUAACUACUGCGAAAGCAUUUGCCAAGGAUGUUUUCAUUAAUCAAGAACGAAAGUUAGGGGAUCGAAGACGAUCAGAUACCGUCGUAGUCUUAACCAUAAACUAUGCCGACUAGGGAUCGGAUGAUGUUAAUUUUUAAAUGACUCAUUCGGCGCCUUACGGGAAAC
rnacentral:rRNA from 1 species